rnacentral:rRNA from 1 species
AACAAUGAUUCCCCCAGUAGUGGCGAGCGAACGGGGAACAGCCCAAACCAUCCAUGUUACGGCAUGGGUGGGGUUGUAGGACUACGCCGUUGCAUGAAGACAUCAGAGAAGAACUUUCUGGAAAGAAAGACCAUAGAGCAUGACAGUUGCGUAUUCGAAUGUUGUCGAAGCAUAGUAGUAUCCUGAGUAGCGCGGAGCACGAGGAAUUCUGCGUGAAUCUGCCGGGACCAUCCGGUAAGGCUAAAUACUCC